GACAGAGGAUGCAAGCGUUAUCCGGAAUGAUUGGGCGUAAAGCGUCUGUAGGUGGCUUUUUAAGUCUGCCGUCAAAUCCCAGGGCUUAACCCUGGACAGGCGGUGGAAACUACCAAGCUGGAGUACGGUAGGGGCAGGGGGAAUUUCCGGUGGAGCGGUGAAAUGCGUAGAGAUCAGGAAGAACACCGGUGGCGAAGGCGCUCUGCUAGGCCGCAACUGACACUGAGGGACGAAAGCUAGGGGAGCGAAUGGG
rnacentral:rRNA from 1 species